rnacentral:rRNA from 1 species
AAAAUCCGGGGGAAUUAGAUGAGGCGUGAUAACGAGGAGGCUUGCCUCUGAAGUGAGUGAUACCCUGCUUCCAGGAAAAGCCACUAAGCUCCAGCUACAUACGACCGUACCGCAAACCGACACUGGUGCGCGAGAUGAGUAUUCUAAGGCGCUUGAGAGAACUCUGGAGAAGGAACUCGGCAAAUUGACACCGUAACUUCGGAAGAAGGUGUGCCUUUAGUAGGUGAUCCAUUUACUUGGUUAGCACAAUGAGGCCGCAGAGAAUCGGUGGCUGCAACUGUUUAUUAAAAACACAGCACUCUGCAAAGACGAAAGUCGACGUAUAGGGUGUGACGCCUGCCCGGUGCUGGAAGAUUAAAUGAUGGGGUGCAAGCUCUUGACUGAAGUCCCAGUAAACGGCGGCCGUAACAAUAACGGUCCUAAGGUAGCGAAAUUCCUUGUCGGGUAAGUUCCGACCUGCACGAAUGGCGUAAUGAUGGCCACACUGUCUCCUCCAGAGACUCAGCGAAGUUGAAAUGUUUGUGAUGAUGCAAUCUCCCCGCGGAAAGACGGAAAGACCCCAUGAACCUUUACUGUAGCUUUACAUUGGACUUUGAACAGAUCUGUGUAGGAUAGGUGGGAGGCUUUGAAGCGGUGCCGCUAGGUGUCGUGGAGCCAACGUUGAAAUACCACCCUGGUGUAUUUGAGGUUCUAACCUUGGCCCGUUAUCCGGGUUGGGGACAGUGUAUGGUGGGCAGUUUGACUGGGGCGGUCUCCUCCCAAAGCGUAACGGAGGAGUUCGAAGGUACGCUAGCCACGGUCGGAAAUCGUGGUGAUAGUGCAUUGGCAUAAGCGUGCUUGACUGCGAGACUGACAAGUCGAGCAGGUACGAAAGUAGGACAAAGUGAUCCGGUGGUUCUGUAUGGAAGGGCCAUCGCUCAACGGAUAAAAGGUACUCUGGGGAUAACAGGCUGAUACCGCCCAAGAGUUCAUAUCGACGGCGGUGUUUGGCACCUCGAUGUCGGCUCAUCUCAUCCUGGGGCUGUAGCCGGUCCCAAGGGUAUGGCUGUUCGCCAUUUAAAGAGGUACGUGAGCUGGGUUUAAAACGUCGUGAGACAGUUUGGUCCCUAUCUUCCGUGGGCGCUGCAAGAUUGAGAGAGCCUGCUCCUAGUACGAGAGGACCGGAGUGGACGCACCUCUGGUGUAUCGGUUGUCACGCCAGUGGCAUUGCCGAGUAGCUAAGUGCGGAAGAGAUAACCGCUGAAAGCAUCUAAGCGGGAAACUCGUCUCAAGAUGAGUCUUGCCGGGGCCUUGAGCCCCCUGAAGGGUCGUUCGAGACCAGGACGUUGAUAGGCUGGGUGUGGAAGCGCAGUAAUGCGUUAAGCUAACCAGUACUAAUUGCCCGUGAGGCUUGACCA